rnacentral:lncRNA from 1 species
GUCGGCUGCGCGCUCUCUGCAGAAAAGGAUUUUCUACGCUCCCCGCCCAUCACUUGGAUCUCGUCUGGGGAGGGGCGGAUUUUUUUUCUGGAAGUACCCUUCUUCUCCACGGUGGAGGAUUUAAGGCUGGGCUCCAAUCGAGGCGGAGGCUGCAGGGCCCGCGGGGCGCCCCCCGCCCGGCGCACGCCUGCCCGGAGCCCGGGAAGGCGCAGCCCUGGGUGGGGGGGCCCGUGCACCCCCGGAGGCGGCAGCGGCGAUAAACCUGCCAGUAAUUUCAGCAAAUGAAACGUGGAACACGUCAAGGCCAGAGGAUGGAAAAGGCUCCAGUUUUGAUAAAAGGAGGCCUGCUUGGCUUGGAAUCCUCUCUCCUGCUGGUUGGGAGAUGCAAAGAUGUUUCCAGAGAGGGGCUGAUGAAUUGAGGGGAAAGAAAUGAGCCCAGUAUGAGUCCCCUUUCAGGGCUGAGCGUGUAUAAAACCAAACAACUUGGAACCGCUCCAAGAGAGGGGAUUAAAGCAACAUGUUAUUCUGA